CAGUAGCCGCGGGAAUACGAAGGGGGCUAGCGUUGCUCGGAAUGACUGGGCGUAAAGGGCGCGUAGGCGGCUGACACAGUCAGAUGUGAAAUUCCUGGGCUCAACCUGGGGACUGCAUUUGAGACGUGUUGGCUUGAGUGGAGAAGAGGGUCGUGGAAUUUCCAGUGUAGAGGUGAAAUUCGUAGAUAUUGGGAAGAACACCGGUGGCGAAGGCGGCAACCUGGUCCAUGACUGACGCUGAGGCGCGAAAGCGUGGGGAGCAAACAGGAUUAGAUACCCGAGUAGUCCCUGUCUCUUAUAC
rnacentral:rRNA from 1 species